rfam:Triticum urartu cultivar G1812 contig964041, whole genome shotgun sequence.
GCUUAUUCUCAGGGCGGGGCGAAAUUCCCCACCGGCGGUAAAUCAGCUGACGCUGAAAGCCCGCGAGCGCUUCAGGAGCAAUUCUGAAGGACAGCAGACCCGGUGUGAUUCCGGGGCCGACGGUUAGAGUCCGGAUGGGAGAGAGUAACG